rnacentral:rRNA from 1 species
UACGUAGGCAGCGAGCGUUGUUCGGAGUUACUGGGCGUAAAGGGUGUGUAGGCGGUUGUUUAAGUUUGGUGUGAAAUCUCCCGGCUCAACUGGGAGGGUGCGCCGAAUACUGAAUGACUUGGAGUGCGGGAGAGGAAAGUGGAAUUCCUGGUGUAGCGGUGAAAUGCGUAGAUAUCAGGAGGAACACCCGUGGCGAAGGCGGCUUUCUAGGAUAUACCUGACACUGAGAAGCGACAGCUAGGGGAGCAAACAGG